GCCCUUUGGAGAAAUUUGGGGUUUUGAGAGUUUCUACCUCCAUUGAAGCUUGAGGAGCCAUCAAUCCUUGGUUGUGUGACCAUUGGUGGAUUGAGACAUUUGGACCAACCGUGAGUGAUCAACCAUUGGAGCAAGCUAUGGAGCUUGAAUAGCUCAUUGGAAUUGGUGUAUGUUUGUAAAAGUUGAUUGCUGAAACUGUUGGUGAAGAACAAAGGUUGACUGAAGCAUUGAGGUAAGGAUGCUGCAGGAGCCUCUGGUGGCAAGUGGCCAUACCUAGAUUAUGCAUGAAAUAUGGCACUUCUUUGAGUUUAUGCAUGCCUUUUGUAGUUGACAUGUAUAGGAUUUUAUUUUGAAAGCCCAUGAUCAUUUGUAUAUCUUGAUUCAUUGGAUGAACUUAGCCUAUGCUCAUGCCUUUGGUUACACCUUUUGUUGAUGGGAGCCAAGGGAAUGAUCAUAGUGUUUUGUAAGCUAAGUUCUAUGAUUUGUAAAGGAUAUGUAAUGUAAAUGAUGCCUACUUGGAAUUCAAUAUAU